GAAUGAGUCAGUUAUUUUAAAAUUAUACUACACUUUCUCAGUGAAAAUAUUACAAUGUGCUGACAUCUUUAACAUUGUUCUUAAGCAAACUGUUUUGACGUGAUUUUUAAUCUUUUUAAUGGUGAUCCGUGUGCAGCAGUAUAUGCAGCCAUGCCCAGUAUUACACAUUCAGAAAUUCUUCUGUAGAGUAGAACUUAAAAUCAAGCAAAUACGAUAUCAGUCUGUUUUUUAAAUUAAUUUUAUUGUGUGUUACGUUCUUCACGUCACUGGAUAUGUAGUCAAAUAUUUUCAUGAAUGAAUGCCUGACACUUUUCUGUAGUACAAUAAAACUGAGUGAUUGAUAGUGUUGGUCAUUUCUUUUUCUAGUAUUAUAUUGAUGAAUGUUACUUUUGUUGACAAAAUAUGUCACAAGGGUGUGAAUAUACUGUGAGGCUGUUGUCAGUACACCACACUGCUGUUGUCAGCUGUUUAAGCUUACUACAAGAGGUUGUUUUGUGCACAUCAGAAAUUGGUAUAAACUUCUGUUGACGAAACUGUUUCUUCCACAAUUAAGAGUUAGCCCAGAAUAUGAAGCCAUAAUUAAAAUAGGAAAAAUAAGGUCAUGUUUUGAGAUUUUCAACACUAUAAUCCACUACGUCAUCUAUAAUCCAAAUGCUGCAGAGUUUAAACGUGUAAGAUCAAUAGAUGUGACUUCCAGUUCAGUUUCUUAUCAAUGUGGCCAUCAAGAAUUUAGUAUAUUGUGUUUCAUUCAUCAAUUUUUCUUAAUGCAUUAUUGGUAAGUACAUGGUCAGGCCUUGUAAAUUACAAAAUUGGAUAUUGUGUCUUAUCUCAGCUACUCACCUACCAAUGUGCUUGUCACAGUUAUGGUUAGCUCACAUGAUUUUAGUUCAAGUGUAGAUGGAGCCUAGUCCACUAUGUCAUUUGAGAAGCUAUUUAACCUGAUUAUUUAAGACACUGAGCUGACUUAAGGUUAAACACCAGAUGCAGUUUAGUGCUCACUACUAACACAGAACUCUACCUACAACAGGUGAAUUGUAGUAACCACAAAAUUUUAAACAUGCUGCUGCUUCAUGGCAUACAGUGCAAGUCUUCCACUGAAUGUAUUAUUACUAUUGCAGAGAUGAUUCACUCAAACACCCUAAUCUUCCAGUCAUUCCUCACUAUGCAACUUUACCUGUACGGUUUUGACUUCAGUAAUAAAAGUUCUCACCAAAUGUAUGUGAAUCCAGUGUUAUGUAAUGUUGCUUUUUCUUCACAUCCGAGAUAUUCCAAGUUUUCAAUUGUGGAAUAGUGUCAUGAUCCUCCACAUUAUUUACGUACUGUCAAAAUUCAACAAACUCUGCAAUUCUCGAUUAAUAGAAACUCCUUUUACACAGUACAUAGCUGUGUGACCUUAGAAUCCCCCUAGUGCCCCAGGGUAAAUUUUUCUAAGUGAUCUUCCUGUAGAAAAUAUAUGCAGUGAAGUGUAAACAUCACAACAGGAUCACUAGAACAAGUUUUAGAAAGCAAGGAUAAUUCCUCUCUUAAUUCACAGAUAUUAUUCUCUUGUAAAUAACUUUCAUAAUUAAGUUAAAGAGGUGUUACUUCUAAUUUAAUUCUUGGAUUUUAAUAUUGUAUUUAGUAGGGGUAUGUAUUUUUUAUUCAAUAGCAUAUGGAAUGAUGUUCACUCAGAUGUGUUUUGUGGGAAUUAGCCAUCUUUAAUGUUUUCUCUUACUUUACACCAGACAUUGUGAACGUUGUAAAAGACUUCUUAAAAUAAGCAGCAUUUUUACCUUUAACAGUUUGGUGUCUGCAUCCACUGUGUCUUUCCUCCUUUUUGGUCAGAAGCUUCCUUUUGUGUAAAUGCACUACUGGCUGUUUGGAAGUUCAUACUUCAGCUAUUAAUCAGAUAAAUAAUUUUCUUCACAGAGAUUUUCAAGAUCACUGGAUGAAAAGAAUUGGUAAUGUGAGUGUGAAAUACAUCUCACCAGCAGUUUUCUCCAGCAAGGCCCUGAAGCAGGAAAAUAGUGACUUUCAUAUGCAAAUUGCACAAAACUGUUGCCCACGGUGUGGAAAAGUUUACGGUAACAAGGGUAACCUUAUGCGACACCUCAAGUUUGAGUGUGGUGUGGCACCGAUGUUCAGUUGUCCAUAUUGCCAGACACGGUGGAAGCGUAAGGAUAAUAUGGAAGUGCACAUUAGGACUUUACACAUGAGGGAGAGUAUUUAGUUGUUAGAAUGUCAGAAAGUAUUCUCUGUAUCUUCCAUAAUAUUUGUACCUUUGUGAAGACUCAUGAGAUUUAUAUUUUCAUGUAAGGCAGUGGUAAUGGAAGAUUAAUCUAAUUGGUUCGUUGGUUGGUUGGUUUGUUUGUUGGAUUGUGUUGGUGAAUGAUUGUGCUUCCAAUUGUAAGUUAAGAACUGCAUGCAUGAGUGAUACUUUCAUUCAGCAAUGUCUUUCAGACAAUUGACAAAGAUCUCUCUGUGGUGAAGGAUUAGUUACACAUUAGUGAGCAUAGUGCCAAAUUUUUGUCAGGUUCCUGAACAUAGUGAUGGUUACAAAACUAUUAAGACAAGUUGGGAAUUAUAUAUCUGGAUCUCAGUGAAUACAUAACAUAACUGGUUACACAUGAAGAUUUUGUUUCAGAGCUUAAGUUGAAUGUUUUGUCCAAAUAAACAGCAGUCCUGUUAUGUGUCAAGCUUUUAUAUGUAUGUCUAAGCAUUGCACAUCAUUUACUCUGAAUAAUGUUAAAUCUUUUCAUGUGAUAAUGAACUUCAUGUGAGAUUCAGUUUGUAAUAGGUAGUUGCUUUUUUUAAAUAAAAUAAUUUGUUAUUUGAUAAA